rnacentral:lncRNA from 1 species
CUUAAAUAGAAUUUUGGACUUUUUUUCCCUCAUUUUGGUUUAUAUGCACUACACCAACUUGAAUUGUUCUAUAUCCAGGAAUUCAUUGCAAAGGCAAUAACACUGCCGGGUGAAGGGGAGAUCAUGGACAUUAUGGAAGUUGCCGAUCCUGAUGCAGUGCAUGCUGUUCGAUCUUUCAUCAGGAAGCAGCUGGCGUCUGAACUGAGAGCAGAGCUCCUUAGCACAGUAUGCUAUCUUCCAAGGAGUAACUAUUUUUUAUUUCCACUUCUAUAUUAACCUUUGUCUAGAAAUUAACUUUGCCUUUAUAUAUUAAACAGGUUGAAAAGAAUAGGAGCUCGGAGGAUUAUGUGUUUAACCAUCCUAAUAUGGCUAGACGUGCACUGAAGAAUGUUGCCCUU